rnacentral:lncRNA from 1 species
CUUGAUCCCGUCGGUGUUCGGACGGUUCACCAUGGUGCGCUGAUGGGCAGGGCCUCUGCGGAAUUCCUUCAAUCUAGUGCUCAUCACCGAGCCGCUGCACCAUGGUUGAAGGUCUCCUCGGCAUGAUCCCUGGUGAGAUUCUGGACCCUUUGGUUCGCUUGCUGGUCCGCUCUGCGUAGCACAAACCGUAGGGGAAAGUGGAGUUCUGGUGCUCGAUUGGAUGGAGGCACCGGUGAUGGUCUCCACCGUUGGGGGCAGCCGCCACUGGUGCGGGAUCUGCUGCGCUCAGCUAUCGAUGGUGGAAGACAACCCAUGAACCGUAGAUCAUGUUAUCAGUGGCCAGGAUUGGAAGAUAGGGCCAACCCGACUAGAGCCUAUCUCUACCGUUGGAUCAUUUACCGACGUGUAGGAUUAGAUCGCGUUCAAAUGUGACCUGGACCGUUGAUCCAUUAUCCAAUGGUCCUCACUGCUCACCAGUACAUAACACGCCAGAUCCAAUCUUCGCCGCUAGAUCUAAUCUGGACGGCUCUAGUUACCCGGUACCCCUUCGGCCUGGCCUUUUUGCACAUGAGCCCCUGAUUAAAGUAGGAAUUAACCCGCCAUCCUCGGGCGGUGUUCACUGAGUCUUAAGAAUUUUUAUGAGUUAGACCCGGCUGUUCUCUGUUUUGUGCGCGAGAUCCAGGGAGCAGUGAAAAUAAAUAAAUAAUUAUAGAAAAUGAUUUCUAGUAUAUAAAUAAUUCCAGAAACUCAUUUUAUUCAUAGAAAAUUCAUAUGUGGUCCAAAUUAACCCAUUCUAGUUCCUAUAAUUUGUAUUAAUUAUGUUUAUCCCUUGGUAACACUAUUUUAACAUGAAAACCAUAUUAAAAUUAAUAUCCUAUUUAAUCUGUUAUCCAACACUUAAAACUUCAUAAAUUCAUAACUCCUUCAUUUUAAUUCCGAUUUGAUCCGUUCAAGUUGCGUUAGUCUCGUAGCAACGCGUAGAUUAUUUUUACGCAGUGUAUUCUUAUGUUUGGUGUGAUGUUAAUUUUGUUUAUACCAUGUUUGUUUGUAUUGCUACGACUAUCAGCGAGGUUACGAGUUACUUGAAGAGCAAGUUGGUACCUGGAGUCUCAAGUGCCAGGCAAGUUGUGCCCUUGAUUCACUUUUGUUACCCAAUAAUGUUCUUCAUAAUCAUUUACCAUGCAUAGGUUUAAUUUUGAUGGGACCCGAUAGGUCACCCUAGAUUGUUUAUCUCAUUACCUUGUUUACCCCUGAAUCACUUAGGUAGUUUGCUAUUGCUUUAUAUGGUUUUGGUAUAAUCAUUUAUUAUAUCCAUGUUCCAGUUAUUUUGUUAUUCUAUUUAUGUUCAUAUCAAGAUCAUUAUGUUAUUGUUAAUUGGAACAUGGAGCUUAACUUGAGAAACACGUGCCGCCACAAGGGUUUAAUGGGACGCUCUUGGCUGACUAAUUAGGAAAGCUAGUGGAAGACUACCUUACCCGAAAGGGGCAAGGGCAGUAGGGGAGUUGCAUGCAAGGAGGUUCUCGGGUUGAUUUAGCUGCGAUGGCGGUCAGACGGGGGAUUCUUGCAAGUGCUCUUCCUAUAAACUGUAGCGGGUUUUCGGAAGCUAGUGGAACUUUGUAAAGGCCUCGUAGUGGAUCCCUAGCCAUUCACCUUGGUAGUGUCUAAGGGCCUAACUAACCCUGGCGACAUGGGAAACACGACUUGUGGGUAAAGGGUACAACCUCUGCAGAGUGUAAAACUGGUAUACUAGCCGAGCUCACGGUCAUGAGCGGCUCAGAACUCUCCGAUGAUUAAAUUAUGGAACCUAAACUCAAUUUGUUAUUUGCAUGGGAUUAUUAUUAAUUUUGUUCUAUUACUUUAUUAUGGUUUGGUAUUUACUUACACUUAGUAACUGCUAAUAAAAUUUUGACCAACUACUUAAAAGCAAUGCUCAGCUUUAACCCCUGUUGUUGAUCAGCCUUACAUUUCAUGAACUCCCACCUUUGGUGAGUUCAUGCCACAUUAUUCCCCACAACUUGUUGAGCGAUGAACAUGUGUGAGCUCACCCUUGCUGUCUCACACCCCCCACAGGAGAAGAACAGGUAGUUCAGGAGGAGCCACAAGGCGAGGAGUAUGAUCUGAUCUAGGUGGCGUUUCUCAGUUGACAUUGGCGCCAACGAUCCUUAGUUCGUUUUAUAUUUAUUCUUUUAUUUUGUAAUAAGUCUUCCGCUAUGUAAUAAAUACUCUGAUGUUAUUGACAUUUAUCUCUAUACACUCUGUUAUUAUAUA